rnacentral:rRNA from 1 species
UACGAGGGUGCAACGUUAUUCGAAUCACUGGCGUAAAGGGUAGCGUAGACGGCGACUCAAGUCAAUCAUUAAAUCUCCUAGCUUAACUAGGAGUCCGUGAUUGAGACUGAGUUGCUUGAGGAUGGAAGAGAGAAGUGGAAUUCUCGGAGUAGCGGUAAAAUGCGUAGAUCUCGAGAGGAACACCGAUGGCGAAGGCAGCUUCUUGGUCCAUUUCUGACGUUGAGGCACGAAAGCGUGGGGAGCAAAC